UACGUAGGUGGCGAGCGUUAUCCGGAAUGAUUGGGCGUAAAGGGUGCGUAGGCGGCCUGCUAAGUCUGGAGUGAAAGGUACCGGCUCAACCGGUACAGGCUCUGGAAACUGGCGGGCUAGAGAGCAGGAGAGGGCGGUGGAACUCCAUGUGUAGCGGUAAAAUGCGUAGAUAUAUGGAAGAACACCAGUGGCGAAGGCGAUUCUUUGGACUGUAACUGACGCUGAGGCUCGAAAGCGUGGGGAGCAAACAGG
rnacentral:rRNA from 1 species